UACGUAGGGUGCGAGCGUUGUCCGGAAUUAUUGGGCGUAAAGAGCUCGUAGGCGGUUUGUCGCGUCUGCCGUGAAAGUCCGGGGCUCAACUCCGGAUCUGCGGUGGGUACGGGCAGACUAGAGUGAUGUAGGGGAGACUGGAAUUCCUGGUGUAGCGGUGAAAUGCGCAGAUAUCAGGAGGAACACCAGUGGCGAAGGCGAGUUUCUGGACAGUUACUGACGCUGAGGCACGAAGGCCAGGGGAGCAAACGGG
rnacentral:rRNA from 1 species